AGAAACGGCCUCAUGAGAGAAAUUAUCGCCUCGACCGCGCUUAGGUAGAUUUGCACGGUGGAUAACGUGCAAUCGAGAAUUCGUGACAUACAAAGGUUACUGUGGCGUAUUAUCCACCGUGGGAUUUGGAUGGUCUACAUGUGCGGGGUCCAGGUAAUAAUUUCUCCCCAUGAGUGACGCCAUCCCGAUUUAAACGCCGCCUGUACAUUUAACCCCA
rnacentral:lncRNA from 1 species